rnacentral:rRNA from 1 species
GAUGAACGCUGGCGGUGUGCCUAAUACAUGCAAGUCGAGCGACCAGACGAUGAGCUUGUUCCUUUGACGUUAGCGGCGGACGGGCGAGUAAGACGUGGAUAAGAUUCUUCUUUGACUGGGAUAACAUCGGGAAAACGCAGAUACUACUGGAUCAUACAAUGUACCGCUUGGUUCAAUAGUGAUUGAGAGUUUUGCUGUCUCAUUUAGCUGGAUCCGCGUCGGAUUAGCUAGUUGGUAAGGUAACGGCUUACCAAGGCGACGAUCCGUAGCUGACCUGAGAGGAUGAUCGGCCACACUGGAACUGAGACACGGUCCAGACUCCUACGGGAGGCAGCAGUGGGGAAUAUUCGACAAUGGGCGAAAGCCUGACGCAGCAAUACCGCGUGGGUGAAGAAGGCCUUCGGGUCGUAAAGCCCUUUUGUUGGGAAAGAACAGCUGCAGGAUUAUAUAUGGCCGUCUUGACGGUACCUAAAGAAUAAGCCCCGGCUAACUUCGUG